CUGACGGAGCACGCCGCGUGAGUGAUGAAGGUUUUCGGAUCGUAAAGCUCUGUUGUUAGGGAAGAACAAGUGCAAGAGUAACUGCUUGCACCUUGACGGUACCUAACCAGAAAGCCACGGCUAACUACGUGCCAGCAGCCGCGGUAAUACGUAGGUGGCAAGCGUUGUCCGGAAUUAUUGGGCGUAAAGGGCUCGCAGGCGGUUUCUUAAGUCUGAUGUGAAAGCCCCCGGCUCAACCGGGGAGGGUCAUUGGAAACUGGGAAACUUGAGUGCAGAAGAGGAGAGUGGAAUUCCACGUGUAGCGGUGAAAUGCGUAGAGAUGUGGAGGAACACCAGUGGCGAAGGCGACUCUCUGGUCUGUAACUGACGCUGAGGAGCGAAAGCGUGGGGAGCGAACAGGAUUAGAUACCCUGGUAGUCCACGCCGUAAACGAUGAGUGCUAAGUGUUAGGGGGUUUCCGCCCCUUAGUGCUGCAGCUAACGCAUUAAGCACUCCGCCUGGGGAGUACGGUCGCAAGACUGAAACUCAAAGGAAUUGACGGGGGCCCGCACAAGCGGUGGAGCAUGUGGUUUAAUUCGAAGCAACGCGAAGAACCUUACCAGGUCUUGACAUCCUCUGACAACCCUAGAGAUAGGGCUUUCCCUUCGGGGACAGAGUGACAGGUGGUGCAUGGUUGUCGUCAGCUCGUGUCGUGAGAUGUUGGGUUAAGUCCCGCAACGAGCGCAACCCUUGAUCUUAGUUGCCAGCAUUCAGUUGGGCACUCUAAGGUGACUGCCGGUGACAAACCGGAGGAAGGUGGGGAUGACGUCAAAUCAUCAUGCCCCUUAUGACCUGGGCUACACACGUGCUACAAUGGACAGAAC
rnacentral:rRNA from 1 species